rnacentral:snRNA from 1 species
GUGGCCUCCUCCGUAGCACAUAUACUAAGAUGAACGAUACAGAGAAGAUAGCAUAGCCCUGAGCAAGGAUGACAAUGCAAAUUCGUGAAGCAUUCCCAUAUUUU